ensembl:lncRNA
ACUGUAGAUAGAUAGAUAGACAGAGAGAUAGAGAGAUACUAUAUAGAUAGAUAGAUAGACAGAGAGAUAGAGAGAUACUGUAGAUAGAUAGAUAGACAGAGAGAUAGAGAGAUACUGUAGAUAGAUAGAUAGACAGAGAGAUAGAGAGAUACUAUAGAUAGACAGAGAGAUAGAUAGAUAGAUCCAGCUACAGGAUUUAUAAGCAUAAUGCCUUUUGUGACAUUUUUAUUUCUUCUUCUUUUUUUAAUAGUUGCUUAUUUAUUAAUUAAUGCAUAUUUAUUUAUCUGUAAUUGACACUUAACGAGCAAUCAAACGAACUCCUGAGCACACGCCAUGAAGCAGUUCUGCGCCUCAGCUGGAUUCCAAAUCCAGUGUUCCGCGUCCUCAGGUGCGUAAACUUGAUGCGCCACAGAAACCGCAGCACUUAGACACCCGAAAACCCCCGUGUGCUCCUUCAUCUCCCUCUGCUCCAUCCUCCUGCUCCACCAUCCUCUCCACAUACUCCACACCAUCUC